rnacentral:lncRNA from 1 species
ACGUUAGCAAGAAACUGAUUAGGUCGGAAGAAUUAGUGUGCUUCCUUGGUGAAUGCAAUGAUGUGUUCCCAAUGUCCAUUUUUCGGGUAAGGCUAACUGCCAAUUCGCUCAAGGAAGAUAGAAAGGCAAGUUAAAUACAGAUGCCUAAAGUUUGCAUGUACGGACGCUAAGCACACAAUAUAUGUAUACAGAAAAAAAGCUACGUUCUAUUGAACUCUUGAUAAAUAUGAAAUAUGAGAUCUACAAUUCAGCAACACUUAUGUAAUGCCAAAAGUCGGUUGCAAGCCUUCAUUAAAUCAGUUGAACUUAAAGUAAAGCAAAGCUUGAAUCAAACCUCACUAGUUCCACAUGCACCUGCCCAAGAAGCGAACUUAGCCAGCAAGUUCAUCCCUAUACCUUAUCAAUUAAGUAGAUUGCACUUAAUGAAAAGCAUCAUUAAAAAAACUGAAAAAAGCCAGCCAGAUAUAGGGCAACUACAAU